rnacentral:lncRNA from 1 species
CCAGUGUGCUGAAUUCCACUUGCAUGAGAUCGGCAAACGAAAGAGCUGCGUGUGAGCAUCUGGAAAAAUCUUUUUUUCUUUUCCUUCUGCAGAGUGGAAUAAUACCACUCAAAACCUGUUUGUUGCCCUGUGAAGAAUGGCAGAAAGCUGGUGUCAUCUGAGCAUCAGCUAUUUCUGAAGCUGUGAAAGGAGCCAAGGUAGUUAACCCAUAUGCAGACAUCUGCCUUCUGGUUAGAUUGGUAUCUCCCUAAACGCUUCUUGUCAUUUGACCCUGCACACAACUUCACCUCUUACAAUCGCUGGACGGUUGAGAUUGGGAGUCACCUCUAGAGAUCAUCUGGUCCAACCUCCUGCUCAAGCAGGGACAGCUAGAGCAGGUCGCCCAGGAAAGUAUCUUGUCAGGUUUUGAAUAGCUCCAAAGAUGAAGACUCCACAACUCUCUCUCUUCCCUUGUUACUUAGCUCACGGCAUCUUGGGCUGUUAGUAGGUACCGUGUAGGAGCUUUCAUUUGGAAGAAAUCACUCAUGCAAUGGAUGUCUGUUGAAUAUAUAAAAUCCUCAUUUUUGACACUUUAUAUAGAUUUGAGUGUCUUGUUAUUCUA